rnacentral:rRNA from 1 species
AGAACUUAGCAGAGAUGCUUUGGUGCCUUCGGGAACUCUGAGACAGGUGCUGCAUGGCUGUCGUCAGCUCGUGUUGUGAAAUGUUGGGUUAAGUCCCGCAACGAGCGCAACCCUUAUCCUUUGUUGCCAGCGGUUAGGCCGGGAACUCAAAGGAGACUGCCAGUGAUAAACUGGAGGAAGGUGGGGAUGACAUCAAGUCAUCAUGGCCCUUACGAGUAGGGCUACACACGUGCUACAAUGGCGCAUACAAAGAGAAGCGACCUCGCGAGAGCAAGCGGACCUCAUAAAGUGCGUCGUAGUCCGGAUUGGAGUCUGCAACUCGACUCCAUGAAGUCGGAAUCGCUAGUAAUCGUGGAUCAGAAUGCCACGGUGAAUACGUUCCCGGGCCUUGUACACACCGCCCGUCACACCAUGGGAGUGGGUUGCAAAAGAAGUAGGUAGCUUAACCUUCGGGAGGGCGCUUACCACUUUGUGAUUCAUGACUGGGGUGAAGUCGUAACAAGGUAGGCGUAGUGCU